AGUGAGCGCUGGCGGUAGGCCUAACACAUGCAAGUCGAACGGCAGCACAGUAAGAGCUUGCUCUUACGGGUGGCGAGUGGCGGACGGGUGAGGAAUACAUCGGAAUCUACUUUUUCGUGGGGGAUAACGUAGGGAAACUUACGCUAAUACAGCAUACGACCUACGGGUGAAAGCAGGGGAUCUUCGGACCUUGCGCGAUUGAAUGAGCCGAUGUCGGAUUAGCUAGUUGGCGGGGUAAAGGCCCACCAAGGCGACGAUCCGUAGCUGGUCUGAGAGGAUGAUCAGCCACACUGGAACUGAGACACGGUCCAGACUCCUACGGGAGGCAGCAGUGGGGAAUAUUGGACAAUGGGCGCAAGCCUGAUCCAGCCAUACCGCGUGUGUGAAGAAGGCCUUCGGGUUGUAAAGCCCUUUUGUUGGGAAAGAAAAGCAGCAGGUUAAUACCCCGCUGUUCUGACGGUACCCAAAGAAUAAGCACCGGCUAACUUCGUG
rnacentral:rRNA from 1 species